AUAUAACAUUGAUAUAAGUCCUUUUCCUGCAACAUUCGAGAUUAAAUGGAAUACAUUUCCUAACUCAUUAUUUCAUCUCACUCCAUAAAUGAAAAGGGUUUUAGUGACAUCUGGGCAUCAUAAAAAGUCUAUGAAUAUUUGAUUAUUCUUUUUUUAACUCUUUAAUUAUGUUUUACCCGCUCAGAUUAGGAAGCUAUGUCUCGCGCUCGCAAUCUCGCCAGUUUCACUCACCAGAGGUCUGAAAUCAGUGAGGUGGGGUUCAUAAUGACUUGAUUUUACAACGUGUAUAGCGUCAAACGUUGAACACUUUGAGACUUUUUAUUGUCUGUUGAUUCUACUUGUGUUAAGAAUAUAGUUUCAUAAUUUUGGGUAACUCUGAAAGCCAUUAACUAUUAUGAUUGCUUGGUCUUUCCAUGUUUUAAAAGUAUUUAAAUAAAACCUUUAAAUACAUUUUUCACCCUA